AGAAUUUCUUCUUUGGCUCAACCUUGAGAUGUUUAGAGCAAUAACCUCAGACUACUUUCCUGCUUCCCUUUGUGCAAACUUUCUUCACGAGUGGCGCGUUUCAAGUGAGGAGUAAGAAGAACCAGAAGAGUUGUCCAAGAGCCAAGGACACCUGAGGAGAGCUUCAAAAAGACCUUGAAACAGCAGAAAGAAGACCAGCACUACUUCAGGACAGGAAGAGAAGAUUUUUUUUCACUUAAUAAAAGAGUUAAUGAUGGGACUUAUUCAUACUUAUUUUCGGUUUAGUAACAGAAGCAACCUCAUAGACAUGUCCAUUACAAAGCUGGGGAUUAGCGUUAGUUCUCUCAGAACGAACCCUUUUGUCGAGGAAUGUCUGAACCGAAUUUUUGAAAAGCCUCCUUUUUUCCCACUAUUAUAAAUAUUUUUUUUCUGUCCUUCUGCACCCUUCUACAAAAAUAAUCUGUAUAAAAGAGAAAAAGAGAAAGACCAACGGGCGGUGCCUCGUGUUUUACCCCAAUAUAUAUGUAGGAGGUGGGGAGAAUAUGGGGAUGACCCCACGGGGCUUAUAGAUGGCCGCUCACCUCAAGACGGUAGUAAUAGGCAUAUAACCCCAAACAACAUGGGGUACCAUCAAUCCUAGAGACGCUGUCGAGCCAAUGGGUUGCAGGAGUCGACCCAAGUCGUCCUGUAGAUAUGUGAGUAGAAAGUGCGGCAAAAAGAACCCUUGAAACCGGCGCUGCGACUAUUAGGAGUGGUAAUGAGUAAAUUCGAUUCGUCACAAACUUCAUAGCCAGUAACCUAUAGCCAGCCAUAUACUUGCAGCUGGGACUAAGUCACAUGAUGGCUAUUCAGAGGAAUAGCGGUCAGUGAAUAAACAGAAUGGACUGGUAAUAUACACCAGAGCAUGGGCUUUUCUUUGUAAUCAGCUCUCUAUUCUGGUCCUAAAGGAAGAUCCUCCUCUAUGAUGUACAUUUGCCUUAGUAGAUCAUAUAGAAAGGGUAUUCUCUUAAUGAGAUGACCCUUUAAAAGUCCAUCAGCACAACUCAGUGCUUAGUAUUUUUUCUUUCAUUUUCUUUUGAUUUCUCCUCCAUAAUGCCAUGCUAAUUCCCUUGGAUUUUGAUGGGUAUAUUAAGCACUUAAAGGGAAUGUGUAAUCAAAACAUGUCCUGAUUUUAAACAUUUCUAUUAUUAUAUGGUUAUUAUUAUAUUUUCUUUCUUGCAGUUUUCAUUCUUGCCACUAGGGCUAAUAUUAAGUUGACUGUUCCCGUUCUGUUAAGAAAACUUUUCAAUAGUCUUUUAGUUAUUCUCUCAGGCAGGAUUAUUCAGGAUAACAUGUUUGUUUUAUGUUUUACUAGUUUUUGCACAAUGACCGCACAUUUCAGGACAAAGAAAAGGCUUUUAUGUUAACACAUUCCAAAAGCUAUAACAUUUUUAUUUCUCCGUUGAUGUAGCUGUAUAGAACCA